rnacentral:rRNA from 1 species
GAUCAUGGCUCAGGAUGAACGCUAGCGACAGGCCUAACACAUGCAAGUCGAGGGGCAGCGAAGAGGUAGCAAUACCUUUGUCGGCGACCGGCGCACGGGUGAGUAACACGUAUGCAAUCCACCUGUAACAGGUGGAUAACCCGGAGAAAUCCUGACUAAUACCCCAUAAUAUGGGCGCUCCGCAUGGAGAGCCCAUUAAAGAGAGCAAUUUUGGUUACAGACGAGCAUGCG